UCAUUGUGUCUUUAACAGCUGGAAUCACUAAGAGAUAAGUCUCAUACUUGAGCUGAACACCAGAUAGUUUCUCCCGUUGCUGUACUCCUGCUGUUGAGAUGGAAACCUGGCUGUGGAUUAUUAUGGCUGCACUUCUAUCUGAGUGUAAAGGAGGAGACAGAGUGAUCCAGCCCAGAGAGGAUGUCAUUUCUACUGAAGGACUCACAGUUAGUCUUGACUGUACAUUUGUGACCAUGAGCACACAUGUGUAUUUGUUCUGGUACAAACAACAAGUCAAUGACUUCCCAAGGCUCAUGCUACGACGAUUUACAAUUGGAGAAGGAGAUAAUGCUGAAGAGUUCCACAAAGAGAGAUUUGAUGCCAAAAUCCAAAACACAUCAGUUCCUCUGAGCAUCCAGAACCUGCAGCUGUCUGACUCUGCUCUGUACUACUGUGCUCUGAAGCCCAGAGUGACAGGAAACACAGACUCCCUGUACAAAAACCUGCUGAACACAAAAAACACUUCCCUCUACCCCUGAAACCAGUACACAGACAUUUCUGACUUAGCGCGAUAUUAAUCAUAACAAUGAACUCCUAAUUAUUCAUCCAUGUUCACCAUAAUCCAGAUAUCUAAACAUUUGUCUGCAUUUUUUUUAUUUACAAUAUCUUGUUUGAAACAUUCACGUUAAAAUAGUUUAUUUUAUUUAUUUAUAAUUUAUGACUUAUUAAACAACUCAUCGAUUCUGAAGGUAAGGUCUCACAUCCACCCCUAGAGGUCAGUAUUAUCAAGUAGGUGUUUAACUAUUUCAUCAACAUGUUUGGUC